rnacentral:tRNA from 1 species
AUGAGCCCCCUCCCACUCCUGUAGCUCAACCCUAAAGC